GGUUAACGCUGGCGGCGUGCCUAACACAUGCAAGUCGAACGGUUCUAAGCGCGAGCUUAGGAUAGUGGCGAACGGGUGAGUAAAAGGUAGGAAUCUACCCCUUGGACGGAGAUAGCUACUGGAAACGGUAGGUAAACUUCGAUAAGCCCGAGAGGGGAAAGUGGUGAGACAGCCGAGGGAUGAGCCUACUCUCCAUCAGGUAGUUGGUGAGAUAAAAGCUUACCAAGCCGAUGACGGAUAACCGGUGUGAGAGCAUGAACGGCCACAAGGGCACUGAGAGACGGGCCCUACUCCUACGGGAGGCAGCAGUGGGGAAUCUUGGACAAUGGGCGAAAGCCUGAUCCAGCGACGCCGCGUGGAGGAAGAAGUCCUUCGGGAUGUAAACUUCUGAACUAGCCGAAUAAAAGGCCUGUGGACACACAGGAGAAGAAAGUAGGCUAGGAAAAGUCCCGGCUAACUACGUG
rnacentral:rRNA from 1 species